rnacentral:rRNA from 1 species
GAUGAACGCUGGCGGCGUGCCUAAUACAUGCAAGUCGAGCGAACGGACGAGAAGCUUGCUUCUCUGAUGUUAGCGGCGGACGGGUGAGUAACACGUGGAUAACCUACCUAUAAGACUGGGAUAACUUCGGGAAACCGUAGCUAAUACCGGAUAAUAUUUUGAACCGCAUGGUUCAAAAGUGAAAGACGGUCUUGCUGUCACUUAUAGAUGGAUCCGCGCUGCAUUAGCUAGUUGGUAAGGUAACGGCUUACCAAGGCAACGAUGCAUAGCCGACCUGAGAGGGUGAUCGGCCACACUGGAACUGAGACACGGUCCAGACUCCUACGGGAGGCAGCAGUAGGGAAUCUUCCGCAAUGGGCGAAAGCCUGACGGAGCAACGCCGCGUGAGUGAUGAAGGUCUUCGGAUCGUAAAACUCUGUUAUUAGGGAAGAACAUAUGUGUAAGUAACUGUGCACAUAUUGACGGUACCUAAUCAGAAAGCCACGGCUAACUACGCG